GAUGAACGCUAGCGGCAGGCUUAAUACAUGCAAGUCGAACGGCAGCACGAAUAGCAAUAUUUGGUGGCGAGUGGCGCACGGGUGCGUAACGCGUAUGCAACUUACCCUUAACUGGAGAAUAGCCCCGAGAAAUCGGGAUUAAUACUCCAUAAUAUCAUGAACCAGCAUUUGUUUAUGAUCAAAGUUCCGACGGUUAAGGAUGGGCAUGCGUGACAUUAGCUAGUUGGUAAGGUAACGGCUUACCAAGGCUACGAUGUCUAGGGGUUCUGAGAGGAUUAUCCCCCACACUGGUACUGAGACACGGACCAGACUCCUACGGGUGGCUG
rnacentral:rRNA from 1 species